rnacentral:rRNA from 1 species
UACAGAGGUCCCAAGCGUUGUUCGGAUUCACUGGGCGUAAAGGGUACGUAGGCGGUCGGGUAAGCCUGAUGUGAAAUCUCACAGCUUAACUGUGAAACUGCAUUGGAUACUAUCCGGCUCGAGGAAUGGAGGGGAGACUGGAAUACUUGGUGUAGCAGUGAAAUGCGUAGAUAUCAAGUGGAACACCAGUGGCGAAGGCGAGCCUCUGGACAUUUCCUGACGCUAAGGCACGAAAGCCAGGGGAGCAAACGGG